GCGGUAAUUCCAGCUCCAAUAGCGUAUAUGUAAAUUGUUGCGGUUGAAAAGCUCGUAGUUGGACUUCUGGCGACCGCGCUCGGUCCGCCAAGCGCGAGCACUGUCCGCGGUCGUCGUCUCUGUCGACGUGGCGCGCCGGACUUCACUGGCCGGUGCGUCGUCUGUCGGCGAUGUUACUUUGAGGAAAUCAGAGUGCUCAAAGCAAGCGAUCGCUCGUGACUUCACUAGCAUGGAAUAACACAGAUGGGCUCUUUCUCGCACUGUUGGUCUGCGUCAAUUGAGCAACGAUCGAUAGAGACGGUCGGGGGCAUUCGUAUUGCGCAGUUAGAGGUGAAAUUCUCCGAUCUGCGCAAGACGCACUAAUGCGAAAGCAGUUGCCAAGGACGUCCUCUUAUGAUCAAGAGCGAAAGUCGGGGGAUCAAAGAUGAUUAGAUACCGUCGUAGUCCCGACCAUAAAUGAUGCCGACUGAGCUUCGGCGACUCGACCACAGGUCGUACGUCGGCGCUCUUAGAGAAAUUAAAGUCUUUGGGCUCCGGGGGUAGUAUGGUCGCAAGUCUGAAACUUGAAGGAAUUGACGGAAGGGCACCACAAGGCGUGGAUGUUGCGGCUUAAUUUGACUCAACACGGGAAAGCUUACUAGGUUUGGACACCUUUGUGAUGGACAGAUUGAAGCUCUUACCCUACUGCGUGGAUGGUGGUGCAUGGUCGUUCUCAGCCCGUGGGUUGACCUGUCAGGUUUACUCCGGUAACGCGCGAGACCUCGGUCUGCUAAAUAGACGCGGCUGUCACGGCACCCGCGCUCUUCUUAGAGAGAGACUCGACGAGAGUCGAGGGAAGUCGAGGCAAUAACAGAUCUGUGAUGCCCUUAGUUAUCCUAGGUCGCACGCGCCAUACAAUGUGGCGCACAACGAGUCUCCUUGGCCGACAGGAUCUGGGCAAUCUGGCAGAGCGCUACGUGACUGGGCUAGACUUUUGUAAUUUUUGGUCUUGAACGAGGAAUGCCUAGUAAUCGCAGGUCAGCAUCCUGCGAUGAUUCGGUCCCUGCCCUUUGUACACACCGCCCGUCGCUCCAUCCGUGGCAUGCGCCGGUGAAGAGGGGGAGGCAGCGUCGGCCGGGUAACACCGUAUCGUACGUGGAACCCCUCUGAACCUUCGCACGUAGAGGAAGGAGAAGUCGUAACAAGGUUUUCGUAGGUGAACCUGCGAAAGGAUCAUUAUCGGCACA
rnacentral:rRNA from 1 species